AUGACCAACCAAGGAAGCGAAGCAAAUCACAACCCUUUAGUUCAUGGUCUAGGAGCAGGUUGGUACACAUCCAUCUUUGUGAUAUUCUGGGCUUCUCUACACUGGUACGGUCUCUCACUGGUACACGAUUUGAGGCAUAGGAGGGAGGGGCACAUUGCGAUGUUGUCUUUGGUCACGGCUAUAGCUUAUGAGAAGAAUGGGAUUUAUGCUUUGGCAGACUGCCCCGUGGUUAGCAAGUCAUUAUUGCCGCCUCCGCUUCCCAAGUUGCAUCGGCUUGCUGUUGGUGUGUGCUGCUUCUGCAGCUCCUGUCGGCCGCCUCUUAGGUUGGGUUUUGCUGCCACUACUAAAGUUUCCAUUGCCAAGGCAAGGUGUCGUCGUCUUGCUUGCAAGGCACACAUUGCACCGCGGGCAACAUUUUGGUAUGCAUGGCCACUCAUGUCAAAGCUGGGUUCCAGUUUGACGACCUCUCUACCAAGUCUCCAUGUUCUUCUUCCCUGA
rnacentral:rRNA from 1 species